CUUGGUUUAAAGGUGAAAGUAAGAGUGAAGGCAUUGGAAAAGCUGUUAGUUCAGGUCUUAGUGAAUAAUAAUGACAGCUGUUUAUUAUAUCUCACUACAUUCAGUCAAGGUUCUACUAUAUCAAAAAGGUCUCGUAGAAAACAAAAAUAUGAAAGGAGCGGGAGAAGGCAGCAAAGCAAACACUAGACCAAUUUAAAAUUGCUAUCUUUUUGUUAAUGGUCACAAGCAUAAAUGAGUCACUGCAGAGAUGGCAGGGGAUUUUUAUAUUGCAAGUACAGUCAUGCUAGGUGUGAAGAUAUGCACUACAAAUGGAGAAAAGUGCUUUAAACACAGAUCUCUGCUUGAAGCUGUCCUCUUCUAGGAAAGUGACUGGGAAAGCUAAUAUGAUUAUAGUGGUAUCAGCGAAGAUGGAUUAAGAGAUGGGAAGGACACCACACCUGUACCUGGGAUAUAGAUAAACCACAACAUCAUAGGAUUGUAGAAUCGUUGGUGUUGGAAGGGAUAUUUUAAAGUCAUCUAGUCCAACACUCUUGCAACGAACAGCGACAUUCACAGCUAAAUGGAUGUUCAUGGAAGCUGCUAGUGACCUGAGAGCUCCGAGAGUGCUGGUCUUGUUUAUGUAUCGGAGUGGGAGCAACAACUGGAAAUGGGAUGACAACUAUGAAAUAACAGUUUGCAGCAAGGGUAGUGAUCUCCUGUGUGCUUGUGGGACAUUAUUUGAGGGGUGAUGAAGCUCCCCUGAACACUGACCGAAAUAGAAGAACUGUUUGUUCCAGCAUCUUCUCAGGAGGGAUUGAAGUACGGUUGACCACCAUACAGAUUUCUGGGAGCUUCAGCUGGAAAAAGUGUUUUGAAUUAAGUAUUUUCAGAAGAAAUCUGGAAGAACCAAGACGUAUCACAAUAAUGAAACUGAGGUUUAAUAAGCAAUUGGUAAGACAAGAUUCCAAUUCUCAGAAGGAAAGAUGCAUAAUGCAGGAAAAAACAAGGCAAAUGAAUUGGUUCUGGAAAAGUCAGUCAAUGUAUAUGAUGGCAAACAGAGACAAACAGGAGAACAUACGAAAUCACGGUGUUCAGAUGGAUAGAGAGGCAACAGAAAUGGGAAGCAGUGUUCUGAUUCCUGCUGCUAUCAGUUGAUAAACCAGGUGUGUGUGUUCACUGCUUAGAUGUUGCUGAUGGUGCUGUUUAGCGCCCAUGGUCUGCAAUGACAGAAAUUCUUCUCAGAAAAUAGGCAAAUUUGGGAAUGAAAGAAUGUUACAAUAAAACUAAACCAUGUAUAGUUGGUUUUCUGAAUGUAUGUACGUGAAAUUUGUGCAGUAUGCUUUUAAAUUCUGUCAGAAAAUAUAUGUUGUCAUGUCCUCUGGAAGGGUUGGUUUAAUCACAGUUUAGGAUGCUGAUACUUCAUUAAGUUAAGGUCAAGCCAUUUGAUUGUCAGAAGUGAUGCACUGCCUGGAUGAGCUGUAAUGCUGUUAUGUUGAUGUCACUAAAAAACACAUAAAAAUUACACAGAAGUGCAAUGUGAUUAUAUAAAACCCAAAAUGGUUAUAAUCUGUUGCUUAACUGCCUUUGCCAGCUGAAAUAUGAAUGAAUGUACACUUUAUAUAUAUUUUACAACACUAAAUCAAAUCUUAAAGUAUUAUAUAUAAAAGGUGAUUUUUAUCUUCAUAAAAUAUAUUAUGGUUAAUUGCAUAAAUGUUAGAAUAAACAUUUUAUUCUGCAUUUUAAUUUUGUUCAAUAGAAACACUGGUUUCCAAUUCUAUCAGGCACAAAAAGCUGUAUGCAGUCAUAGCACGUGAAAAAUUAACUUUGUGCAGUGUGGCGAACAAAAGAUCUUAGAGAAAGCUGACCUCAAAGCACCCUUAGGCAUGGUUGUGAAGAAUAGUUAACUGAGCAUUUCUAGUAGAAAUCACAAGCACCAGAUUUAGGACAAAAACUGGCAUGUGAUAAACACAUAAUUCUCUACGCACAAAUUGGACAAUAACUUUUUUUUUUUUUUGGUGGUCCUUUGUACAAAUCAGAUGAACUUCUAGAUUUAAACUUUCUUGUUUUGAAAUUAAACAUGAAUUCAACACAGCAAUGUACAGAAAAACCUCAGAAAAGAAAUUAACUACAAGCAGAUGUCGAGCAAGAAGCCACACAUGGAGAAAUCCACUUAAAACAACCACCUUACUGUAGCUACUUGAGUCAGCUCAGUUUAUGGCAAACAGAAAGGAGCUUUUCUUAGUUGCUAUAAACUGGUGCACACACUUUAGCACGUGAAACCAACACCCCCUUAAAAUACACAGUGAUUGGUUGCAGGAUUUAGAGUUUUAUAAUUUUGUAUUCCUGGUGACAAACUCGGGAAGAUACAAAAGCAAAAGCCUGGACAAUCUGCUGGCUUCACACAACAAUGGCUGUGUUUUUCUUUCUGUUUAAUCUGAAUCUGAGUGAUUAUACCUCUGUUGUGUACCUUACGAAUCAAAGUCUCUGAUACUGCUAGGGAAAAAAUACUGAAAUGGGAGAAAUGCUGCCAACUUCAAAGCCAUGCUUCUGCCUGAAUUUUUUAUCUACUAUUACUGCACACAAAUAAAUUAUCUGAAAGAGAUUUCAGUAGGAAAAUAUUUUUUUUCAGUUCCUUUCCGCUCUUCUUUUACAAAGUACAGAGGUUUCUGAAAACAAGCUGAAUCUAAUCUGUUUUCUGCCUAAUUUUUGGUGGGAUAUUCUUUGAACAAUCAAUCAGCUAUUGUCUUAUACAGGAGUUAAAGACCUAAAGUAAAUCUGAAAUCCCAAAUGGAUGAGCAGAUGGUGGAAUAGUCCAGCAGAAUUUGAGUCAGAGGGAAGAGUUGCAAUUGUUUGUCUGACGGCCACUGUACACCCACCUGGGGAGUGUCCUGUGAAGCAUGUUUUCUUCCCUCAGACCCAAAGCUCUUAAUCUGCAGACUGGGCCAAGAUCCCAGCACUGCUUUAGGCUUCUGCCAGAAACUACAAGUAACUGUGUUAGAUGCAUCUUGAUGAUAUCUGUUAUAUCUUAAAUAAAAAUGCUAGUUUUGCUGUUCCACAUACCUUUGCAUUUAGAAAUAUAAAAAUUAAUUCCUGACCUGAACAUCGGUGAUUAGUUGGUUCUAUGACAGUAUGGAUCCUGACAUCUAAGGGUGAAGUUAUUCCAGGCUCUAUUGCAUAACCUUUCUCCAGCUCCUUCUCUGCAGUCCAUAAAGCCAACUACUGAUCAUUCAUGAGACAGUAAAAUCACAAUAUAUUAGGAUCUUAUAGGGUCACACAAGAUAUGGGCAUUUUCAUGACACAGAACUUCAGGAAAUAUGACAGCAUGAAAGGCAAUACAGAAGUUUUUACCUUCUCUUCAGUUCCCAAAAUAGAGUGAUUCAGAGUUUCUCACAAUCAGGUAUUUCCAAACCAGAAAAGAUUGCCACGAUAAUCCAGCCAAAAUAUUUGUAUUCACAG
ensembl:lncRNA